rnacentral:sRNA from 1 species
UAAAAUUACUAGAAUACAGAGGUUGAGAC